CUCAAGAAUAAGUAGGCCAAAAGGAAAGGGAAAAGGCAAGAAAAAGAAACUAGAACAAGUUUAUUUGGCAUCAUCUGAAGGUGAGCAAUCCGAUUCACCAAUAUCAUAUGAUGAUUUUGAAGAACUGGUGCUGGAAGGUUUCGAAGCUAUAGAUGCCGAGGAAAGAGAACUAGUUCCAUGUGCUGAGACUAGAAUAGCAUCUGUUACUGGAAGUACACCGACACCACGAUAUGAGGCGGCACCCAAGGUGAAUCCCAAAAGAAUAAAAAAAAGAGGUGACUCAAAGCACCAUUCACGCGCACACAAGGAGCAAAAUGGUGAAUCCUGCGAGAAACACAAGGAGCAAAAAAAAAGGAUCUGUUUUUGAUUUUGU
rnacentral:lncRNA from 1 species